UCUCCGUUGGUGAACCAGCGGAGGGAUCAUUACCGAGUUUACAACUCCCAAACCCCAUGUGAACCAUACCAAACUGUUGCCUCGGCGGGGUCACGCCCCGGGUGCGUCGCAGCCCCGGAACCAGGCGCCCGCCGGAGGGACCAACCAAACUCUUUCUGUAGUCCCCUCGCGGACGUUAUUUUUACAGCUCUGAGCAAAAAUUCAAAAUGAAUCAAAACUUUCAACAACGGAUCUCUUGGUUCUG
rnacentral:misc_RNA from 1 species